rnacentral:rRNA from 1 species
UACGAAGGGGGCUAGCGUUGCUCGGAAUCACUGGGCGUAAAGGGUGCGUAGGCGGGUCUUUUAAGUCAGGGGUGAAAUCCUGGAGCUCAACUCCAGAACUGCCUUUGAUACUGAGGAUCUUGAGUUCGGGAGAGGUGAGUGGAACUGCGAGUGUAGAGGUGAAAUUCGUAGAUAUUCGCAAGAACACCGGUGGCGAAGGCGGUUCACUGGGC